GUUGUCUUAAUAUAUCUCAAACCUGUUGUCUGAAAUAAAACUCCUGAAUCUCCCCACUCCAAAAUAUUAUCUCCAUUUGUUUAAAUAGUAUUACUAUCUAUGUAGGUGCUUCCCUGUAGUUAUCUUUGACUCUUCCUUCUCAUUCUCCCUCAACCAUUCUUUAGCAUGUAUCAAAUGUUGCCACUUCUGUUCAUGUCUUUGCCACAAUAUAGUCAAGACCAUACAGUCAUCCUGUAGGACUACUACAGUGACUACCUCUUGGCAUAUCAUUUCCUUCUUCCUUUUUUCCCCCUCUCUUCAAUUUAAUCUCCAGUUGUUGAGAUGAUAUUAACUGUAAAUCAGAUAGUCAACUCCAUAACUUAGAACCUUUCAGUAAUACCCUAUUGUACUUAAAAUAAAAAGCCAAUUCCCUAUCUUGGUCAUAAUGUGGCCUCUACCCCACACUUGUGUCAUAUCAGAUCCUUAACCACCUCUAACCAUACUGACCCUCCUUUCAGGUCCUCAAACUCCUGCUUCAAUGCCUUUCAACCUGGGAGAACCUUCUACUAGAUCACUUUAGAGCUAAUUUAUCCUUCAGUUCUUAGCUUCAGGAUCAAGCAUCAGAGGGCCCUUUCUGAUAAUCUGUAAGAAAAUGCUCUUUUCCAUUUCCCCCACCAGUGUACCCAGUUUGUAGUUUUCUCAAUUUUAUUUUUUUGCUUUUUUAUUAGCUAACUAGAGGCCAAGUGCACGACAUCCCUCAGCCUGGCCUGCGCCCUCUCACAGUCCAGGACCCCUUGGGGGAUGUCCGACUGAUGGCUUAGGCCCGCUCCUCGUCAUAGUGGAGCAGCCGGCCUAAGCCAGCAGGCAGACAUCCUUAGUGCUGCCAUGGAGGCAGGAGAGGCUCCUGCCACCGCCACUGUGCUCGCUAGCCGUGAGCCUGGCUUCUGGCUGAGUGGCACUCCCACAGGGGCAGCACACUGACCACCAGGAGGCAGCUCCUGCAUUGAGCUUCUGCCCUCUGGUGGUCAGUGAAGUGUCCUAGCAACCGGUCGUUCUGCCAUUUGGUCACUUUGCAUAUUAGCCUUUUAUAUAGGAUACUUUCCUUAGGGUUCAGAAAAUUAGUUGCUCCAGUGCCUAACACAAAACAGGCAUUUGAUGAUAAAUGUAUAUAUGGAAGCUGCCAUUGAACGGUAUGCUCUUCUUGGUAAUAUAUUAUCCUCUGCCUUAUCCAUUCAGGCUUAGUACACUGUCAAUAGUCAUUCCAGAAACACUGCCAGCAUAGGACCAGGUCGUGGGGUAGGAUUUGUGGGUGGCUGCUGUUAGGGCUGGAGUCUUGCCCCAUCCUGUAGUCUUCAGCAGUCAGGUGGUGGAACUGUUUAAUAACCUAGCAGGGCCCUUUAGCUUUGAGAUUUGGUGAUCCUAAAUGCAGAGCUUGAGCAGGGUUGUCUCUAGGUCCCACAGCUGGGCAAGAAAUGGAAAGGGGGGGAGAUGGGAUCUGAUGAUGAUAGCUCUCCUCCAUCUCCCUGCACAGAUAGUCACUAUUGUUUUCACAGUACCCUGUCCUUGUCCCUGCCUAGCAUUUAUCAGAUGAAAUUAGGGUUUGCUUCUCUACUAGGAACCACAUGUCUUGUUCACCACCCAAAUCCUGGCUCAUAGUAGGAAUUCAAAUUAAUUCAGGAGCUUUUAGUGUGAGGGGCCUCAGUGGAUUCUGAAAUGGUCAAUGUACCCACAACAUGCAAUUUCUCAUUUAAGAACUGAGGCUUAGAAAUUAACACAUUUGUUCCUACUCAGCAGUCUUCUUACAUUGGAUAAAAGCUAACCCUUUUCCCAGUGUUACCUAUUCUAGGAAUGAAAGGAUUUUCUAAGGGAAAAAGAAUUUAUGAUUCAUCAAGGCUAUUUUCCUCAUAUAAGGAACCUAUUCUACCAUCUAAACCAGCGGUCACCAACCUUUCAGACCUCAUGGACCACCAGUGGUCCAAGGACCACCCUUUGCCCACCCCUGAUCUAAACUGUCCAAUACAGUAGCCACUAGCCACAUUUGGUUAAUUGUAAGAUUUAAAAAUUGUAAGACUAUCAACUCAGCUUCAUUAGCCACAUUUCAAGUCCUCAAUACCACAUGUGGCUAAUUAUCAAAAAAGUUUAAAGCUCAGUUUCUCAAGCCACAUUUUAAAUACUACAAAUUGGACCUCACAGAUAUAAAACACUUCCAACAUUUCCCAAUGUCAUACUGGACAGUGUUGAUGUAGCACUGUUUUUGCAGACUCCACUGUUAAGUUAGCACAGAGGAGAACCGGAGAUUUUGGUGAGGCCAGCAAAUCUGUAUAUAUUUAUUUGCUUUGCAGGGUAUGUUGCAGGUCAAUCACAAGGAAAUUCCAGUAUCUUUGCUUUAUUAUUUGUAUACUUCACUACUAAUUGGAGUAUAUGCACUGUCAGGUUAACCUCUCUAGAUUGUUGUAUCCUACCCCCAAAAAGCAGGGGAAAUUUUUGCUUCACCUAUGUCAGGAUUAUUUUAAGUGUAAGGAUAAAAUAUGUGGGGAAAAUGCUAUAUAAUUAUAAUCACAGGUAAUGAGAAACAUUGAUGCCAGAGUGGAACAUUAAUUGGUUGCCUCCUGCAUGUUCCCACCUGGGGAACCAGCCCAUUACCCAUGCUUAUGUCCUGAUCAGGAAUUGAACCAGCAAUCUUGGUGCAUAGGAAGGUGCCCAACCAAGCCACAGCAGCCAAGGCAGACAGUGAGAAUUUACAUGUCAACAUCCAUAUAGGAUACAAUAAAGCUUAAGUAGGGUUGAAUCUGUCAUUAAGUUUAUUUAUGGGGAUCUAAGUAAUGGUAAUAAAAAUGUCUAUAACUCUUUUUGUUAAAAAAAGAUCUAGAGGACACAUUUCAUUGCAGAAUGUUAUCACCAUCAAUCAAUAUCCUCGUUUUUCUGCUCAAAAUAUUAGGACAUUUCUCUUCUUUUGACUUAUCACAACUAUCUUAUUCAUUUUAGCUAAAGUUUAAUCCUAGCAGAGUAUUAACACCAUGGGAAGAGAAUUCUUAAAAUAGUUUGUAAGUGAAUUUAAACAAACAUACACUCUGAAGUCAAAUGGAAUCAACCUGAAAGGUCCUUGGUCAUACUCUGGCUCAUCCUUUUCCCAAUGCAGGGUUCUCCCCGUGCAGCUUACUUCUGUUACUACUGACCUGGGUUUGUGGAAAGUGUAGCUCUGGUUUUUAGAGAGGAGGAGCAUAUUUAACAAUGUCUAAAAAUGCUAGUUAGCUAACUUCUUUCCAUCCUCUGCUGAGGCUACAAUACUUCACUAAAUACUUCUAAAAUCUAAAUUUGAAUUCAUUUGAAUUUUGUAGUUUGAGCACAACUGAGAAAGAAUCAGAAGAUAAUUGUUGUAAAUAACAUUCACACAAACACAAAAAGAUACUUAAGUGUUAGAAACGUUUAUUUGUCAAAAUAUUUUUAAAAAAUGGGAGGAGUGGAGCAAAACAAGGCUAAAUUUCAGCAAAUGCUGUACCACGAUCACAUGUCAGACAUAAAAAAAAAACACAAAAAAACAAACAAAACACCCCCAACCCCACCCCAGUGGUCCUAGCAAUUUCAGAGGAUUAGCUUCAAUGUUAAAUCCAGAGCUAACAGAAGAGGAAAAGGUUGCUUGCCACUAAAUGGUCAUUUUAAAGGCUAAGGAGAUGUUUCAGGUAGACAGGAGGAAGGAUUCAACUCCUAUGGAAACCAAGAUAAGAGGGGUUCCACUGUAUAGGAAAAAGGGGAUGCCAGCAUAAUCCUUACCUAGUGCUGCUCAAAGGCUGAGAAUAUAAGGAAUGGAAUGAAAGGCUACAGACCCUCAUAUUAGGAGGAAAGAAAAGUCAACUUAGAAGAAUUAAAUUAAGAAAGAAAACAUAGUUGGUCACAAACUCCUUUGUUUACUGAAACAUGAAGCAAUGGAAACAUCCCGGCAAAGGGGACCGCGUGAAGCAAGUUCUCAUAUAUGACCGCAGCCCGAGGGUUCAGUCCACAAUUAUCCUACCUGAAAGAGAGCACAACACAAGAGGCUUACACAAUGCCUGGAGAGCAGCUUGGCUCCGAGUACAAGGGCCCUGGUCCUGUCCUGUAUUCCAGGGGAAAAGAACAAAGAACAAAACAAAACCAAGUCAGACUGGAUCAAACCUACCCCAUGUAAUUACCCAGGACUCUUACGACUAUAUGUAGGAAUCUACUUAUAGCUAUAAUAGAACUAGAAGCAAUCUACCUGGAAGACUGCUGUGUUGAUGAUAAAUACGUAUUUCUCAUUUUCUUACCCAUUUUUUAGGCAAGACAACUGUAAUACACAGCUAUUCUCACUAUACCAAAGGGCAUACAGACAUUACCAAAGACUAUAAUUUAAUUUUUGGGUCCAGGAAAAGCAGAAGAUGCUAAAAUCUCAAAUAUGGCCAACUGCUCUAUUUAUUCUAAAUUUGUUUCAUCUUAAUCUUUCACAGUUAAGUUUUCAAAAGGAACAAUCACAAAGGGUAUCAAGGAGUGUUUAUUUACCCUCCAACAUUACUUAUAGGUCAGUCAUAGAUUUAGAACCAUAAUUCUAGUAGUUCCCCUAAUUGACCACCUCUCCCUUAUCAAAUCAAAAGAAGAAAUCCUAAAAUUCUCUAAUUCUUCCAUUGAUGAUGGAAACUCCAGACACCAAUGGCUGGGGGGAAAAAAAGUUAACUCACACCAAGCUCCUCUACUUAUUACAGACAAAGGGCCAAAUCUUGGUCUUGAUCUGUGCCAAUGGACUUCAAAAGCUGUGACGUUGUUGAAUCAGUUCUGCUAGAGUGAGACCCGAAAUUGGAUCCCCAACAGUUCUGGAGUAUUUCAUCCUGGCAGCCUCAUUACCAUCAGGCUCCUGGGACUGCAACCAACUCAGGGUUAUUCAGUCCAUUUGAGGUUCACACCUGGAAGGUAAGUUUCUUUAAAAGUCAUCGUUAAAAAGAGGUUAGUUGAACAACCACUGCUUGAACUCAAAAUUCACUUUUAAAUAACUAGGCAAUAUCCUUUAAAGAUCACAUAUACUAAAUAUUUAACUUUGAAACAUUCAAGAGAAAGAAGUUAUCUGACAGAUAAUACCACCUUAUUUUAGAGGCAUAUCCCAUUUCAUGGCAGAUUCAGCUGUAUUAAAAGUAAAAAGUAACGGCAAACUACACAAGUUGUUAAGGUUAUCAACUUCAUGCACAUGAACACAGUGCUGCCCAGUGGUCUCAGGAGAUCCCCGUCUUGUCAUGGUCUCACAGUCAUAAGGGUAUCACUUGCCACAAGUUCAUGCCAAAUGUGCUUCUCACUAUGAAAAAGGGCAGUUCCUACUGCUUUGUCGUCUUCUGUGCAUAUACCAAAGGGGUAAGUUAGGGACCCUGGACACUCAGUGGUAACUAAGUUUAACUUUGCUACUAGGCCUCCCAUUCAAGUGAUUCUCAAUUUCAAGGUACAAGGAAAACCAGAAUAGAAAGUUGUCAUGAUACCAUUUCUACUUGAAGAGACUUAUCAAUCUAAUUACUCUUGUUAUUACUUCUAACAUCUUUGCAUACAUUUUCUGAAGUAGGAAAAAUUAAAUUCCCAGGGUCACCAGUGGGAUUUUAUAUACAUCAAAAAUUACCCUGUUUAUCUAGUCCUUAAAUGUUCCUCUCAAACCAAACCAUACAAAACUUGCUGGAAAAAAAGGGAAGCAUCAGGCUGAACAUGAAAGUAUCACUGACUAUGCAGAGAUACAGCUUACGUGCCCAUGUACAAUGAGAUGCUCCAGAUCAGCGGUCGCCAACCAGUGGUCCGUAGGUCCAAAAGGUUGGCAACUGCCUCUCCAGAUUACUAAUAAGGGACUUCAUGGGACAGUAGCAUCAAAACACUCUGAUUUCAAGCAAGUGUCUUAUAACUAAACACCUAAAAUUUAUAAACUUUAUUUGGCUUAUAGCUAUAUAUUAGAAGAGGUUCCUCUGAUAAAGGUUAAUAACCCAAGUAGUAUUAUUAGCCAACUGGAAGUCCAUAAAGGUGUAGUUAAAAUUCUCACUGUGACAUGCAUUAACUCCUGAACCUGUAUUCUUCAGCUUAUACCACAGUGACUUUAGUGGAAAGAUAAUGGGCUUAGGAAUCAGCCAGGCCUGAGUUUGAAUUCUGGCUCUACUUCUCAGUUACCAGAUGACUUCAGGCAAAGUACUUAACCUGAGGCUUAGCUCCCUUCUCUGUAUAACAGAACAUAUCUUAAAGGCUUAUUGUGUAGGUGAAAUAUGAUAUGAUAUAUACAGAGGGCACUUAACAAAUGUUAGCUCUCUUAACUAUGUUUCUGUAACCCAGAUUAGCUUACACUUAAAUAACAGUAUUCUCACUAACAAACUCAGUUUCUUCUCUCUAACAAGUAAUUUAUACUUUUUGGAUACUAAUGUCCUGACAGCAAACAGGUGGCUUUAGCUUCCCCUCUACAGCAUGGGUCUCUUUCAAGGGAACUAAAUGGGAUCUUUUAACCACACCUACCCCACUCUCACCUCCAGUUUUUAAAAGGCUGAAUACCGUGCUCGGUCCACAUACUGCUCCCGUUCAUACCGGGCCAUGUCAUACAGAGAAUUCCGUGCAGCUGCUGAAGCCUGAGACAGUUCACUGUCUGGCCCAUAACCGUAGCCCUCUCCAACUGUGGGGAGCACAGCUGCAGCACGACGAAUGGGGCUCCUGUCCCUUCCAUAAUAGGAGGAAGUGGUGGCAGCAGCAGCAGCCAUAGCUGAGGUGGCAGCAGCACCUGAGUUCGGCAACAGGUGUCUGUCGUAGGGAUCAACAGAAGAGUUGAGGUGACUGGUCACAGCUGUGUUCUGGACUUGAGGCAGAUGGGACAUGGUCUGUUCUGCGUAGUUGUAUGCAGAAGCUGCUGCUGCUGCUGCCACUGCCUCAUAAGAGCGAACCCGGUAACGCUUAUAGUAGUCGAGUGCUCCAUAUGCAUCGUUGUAAUACAUGGAUUCCCCAUAGCCCAUGGUGUAAGGCGUGCGCACGGCUCCGUAUUGUUCAUUAUACUGCUCAGUAAAGUCUGCUACGCGACCCGUACGAUCUACUGGGCACUCUUUAGACCAGUGCCCCUCCUUCCCACACCGAUAGCAGCCACUCUGGUCUCCCAUCCCAGGGGCAGUCCGAAGGCGGCUUGUAGACAAUUGCACGUGCAUUCUUUUGCCUUGAGAAAAUAGAUAUAAGAUUUAUUAUAACUCACUCAGAAUUCUUUAUCCUCCCCCAAAAGAAAGUAAACUAGUUGGCACAAAACACACAUACAUCCACACACACACACCUGAGAUCCUGUUUCAGCAAUCCCCUCCAAAAGCAGUUAAAGUUUUAAUAUAGAUAAGAGCUAGAAAAUGUGGGUCCUCAGAGACCAGUCAACACUUUCUACUUACACUAGGUAGACCGAAUUUCAUCCUACUUCUGUCUGCACAACUGCCCCCUGCUCAAUACAGAAAUGGAAAGUUUCCACUUUUUACUGCUAAGACUGUGAGAUUUUAUUUAUUUUAAAUGGGACUAUGAGAUUUUAGCAAUUCAAAACCUGCCAAUUCUUCCGAACCAAAUAUCCAACCAAACCUCAGUUAUGCCCGAUUUGGAAAGUAUCUUACCAACCUCUCCCUGAUUUAUUCAGGGCCAUUAGGCCUGAGCAUUUACUGCAGCUUAAAGACCACAGCAAACUUCUGUCCAUCUUGUUUCCUCCAGCCACUAUUGCAGUUGUCACAAAAGGCUAUGUUGGUUACACAAAUCAUACCUGGUUCAUCAUAGACUUUAUAAGACUCUUCAGAUUUCAACCCCACCCCCACUUUUUUCAGCAUGCCUACUGUGGAAAAGAAUUCUAUUUGACCAAAGUCUCUCAACAGCAAAAUGAGAUCUUGAAGCAGUACUGGUUUCUUAGGGACGUUGUGCUCCCAUGUAAUGGAAUAAUUAACAUUUCAUCCUGUCAUGUAGUUUACAAUUCUUUAUCGGGGAUUAUUUACUUGUUAGAAAAAUGCAGCAUCUGUCUAAAGUCCUCUGGGCACCCAUACAAACAAGCCACAUUCAGGGAAUGACCAGCACCAAGGAACAGCUAAGAAGAAAGUCUUUGCCCUGGGUUUGUGUACCACCAAGCCCAGACACCCUUACUGAUGAAAGCAUCCAAGGUCUUUAAAAGCAGUUUGAGAAAAGGAGUAUUUGGGUUAGUAUUUAGUCUCAAACUGCCUAAGACUUUGGAGAUCAAGUCAAUGCUUUUCAAAUUAUAGCCAAAACACAGCCAGUACAGACAUAGGGAACAGGGGCUUCGCAUCACUCUUAAGGGCUGCUCAGAACAAAUUUCCCCCCUCCGCGAUCAGCAAGUUGCUCUCUCUUUGACAGACCUUGUUCUGGAUGCAGUUAUGCGAUAGGAGGCCUCGUGCUCCACCAUCCUGUUGGAAACAGCCCGAUUCAGGACGGCAGCCAGAACAGCGCCAUGCACUGACCCUGAGAGGGGAGCGGGUUAGUGCAGUAAUAUCACUUUAGUCAAACUCAUUUCUGCCCAAUGUCUAAGAUUCCUACCACCCCAGUUUCCAGCAGUUGCUGCCUCCAACUUAAACCUUUCUUUAGCAGAAAUAAAGGUGCUCAGAUUUUUACUUCCAACUGCUAGCAGAGAGGCAGUAUCCACCAUACAGUCACUGAUAUAGUCAACAGAUACCAAAUGGCAAUAAUUCUCUGAAAGCAGCAUUUAGCCAUCCUACUGUUUUCAGCAAUUUGAAUAUUCUUAUUCCAAUUCUUAGAAGGACCACAUGCUAACUAUGCAUAGAACAAAAACACACAGAUUUUCUUCUCCAAUUUAUAUAGGUGUAGGGUUCACUAUAAUUGAGACUGGAGGAUUACAAAUUAUUUGUCUUUCAGCCAUGCAUGGUGACAUUAAUCUGUGUGACAGACAUAAACUGUGCUCCAAUUGUGAAGUCAGACUAACCAAUAUAAAAAGCAGCCAAUCCAGGAAACUUAGAAAUACAUUUUUAAGAAAAAUUGCAAUUUAACUUGCUCUUUACUUUUAUGGAUUUUGGGUGCUUUUUUUUUUUUUUUUUUUUUUUUUGAGAAACAAAAACCAGUGAUUCUUCCUUAAUGCUUCUGUUACUACAUCAUUUUUAUCCCCUGCUCUAAAGAUUGGAACUUCUAAGUUUAUAGGUAUCUGUGGCAAAAUCUACCUCUAGUAGUAACUAUGAAAAGGACUUAGGUUAUUUUUACUUAUUUAUUUUUUUACCUAGAACUAAAAGAUCUAUAAUAGAAGGGAUAGUUAUUUUUUUUACCCCAACACAAUCUUCCCAAAGAUUGUAACUAUGCUUUUAAUUUAAAUCUCCUAAAGUUUUUAUAAUUGAAAAAUACUGUGCUUUUCUAUUAUCUUAGGAAUGAGAGCAAAUAAAACUGAAAGAAAAGUAAAUUUUACCACUCCCCUACACUUAGAAAACAUAAAGAUUUCCUGAGACCUUCAAAAAAUACUGAAAUGCACUGCCAACAUUUUUCUGAAAUCUAGCCCAAUAAAAGUGUUUUCUUCUGAAUUCUGGAACAGAAAGGAGUAUUAAAAUGCUGAGGUGUGCAACCUGGGGUCCUAAUUGCUGAACUCCUAUCAUUGCCAGGAUCCAGAGGCUGGGGAUGUAGCUGACACACAAUAGUACUUCAGUUUAAUGCUUGUUUACAUAUUGGGAGGAAAACACAAAACACCUGAACUCUUACAUAUUCCCAAUUCAGCUGCCUGAACUGUUUGUUACCUAGGAAGGCUUUAAGGUUUUCCAAUGCAAGCUGUUUGCUACCUCAAUAGGGGUGUAGUUCACUGCUGCUGUGGAGAGGAAACAGAUUCUGCUGCUUCCUUUUAGAAGUCAAACAAGUCAGAAGCCUAAAUGGCAGUCAUUAACAUAUGAAGUUGCAAUAGAUGCCUAAAGUGGUAUUCUUAAGACGCUACCUUCAUUAAAUACCUGCAAAGGAUUUAUCAAAAAAUGUGAUAAAUUGGUAUCUGGAUUGUAUUUUCUGUAAAACUGCAACUUACUACCCAACUAGAGGCCCCAUGCACGAAAUUCUUGCAAGGGGCUUGGCCCUCGCAGCCGCAGCGGCUUGCCUCAGCCCUCACAACCCUGUCUUCCUCCGGAAGGUUGUCUGGAAGGAAGUCUGGGCUAAUUAGCACAUUAUGCUUUUACUAUUAUAGAUGCUAAACUUUCUCUUGUCAUCUGGGGGGAAAAAAGCUGGUUAUAAAAACAUCUAUGUGUGUAACUCAGAGCACUUCCUCCAGAGGGGUCAGGCUAAGAACAUGAAAACCAAAUAAAGGAUCUUUCUUUCCAGUGAUUACAUUGUAAAAAAUCUUAUGAAUCGUGUGUAGUCAGAUAUCCACUUCUUAAAGUAAUUAGACCUGCGUUAUUAAAACACACAUUCCUCCCAAACCAACUUCCCCCAAUUAAAUGACUUUUAUAUACUUAUUUUGGACCCUACCUCUUUAUUCAACUGUGAAGUUUCUCUGCAGUUUUUUUUUUGUUUUGUUUUUUUAAACAAAGCUCAUCUUAGAUUCACCACAUAUUUAAACAAAGGUCAUUUUAGAUUCACCACAUAUUUUAAAAUAUAUUUUUAUUGCCUGGCUGGUGUGGCUCAAUGGUUGAACAUUGACCUAUGAACCAGGAGGUCACAAUUCGAUUCCUGGUCAGGGCACAAGCACCAACUCGAUCCCCUACCUCCUGCAUGCCCCCCACUGGGGACCGAGCCUGCAACUUGGGUAUAUGCCCUGACCGGGAAUCGAAUUAUGGACCAUGGGUUGAUGCCCAACCACUGAGCUACACCAGCCAGGCUCUCUGCAAUUUAUACCUGACUUUAACUGCAUUCUUUUUACAUUUUGCUUGUUACCUGUCAAAAGAGAACCCACAGUUUUCUCUGCCACUAUUCAUGAUUCCUUCCCCUAUCAAAUGAAAAUACUAAGAAUAUCUUUAAAGCUGUCUGAAGUGCAACAGCUUUCCAAGAUAAAAUAAGAAUAGCUAUCAUGCCCAGCUGGUGCAGCUCAGUGGCUGAAGGUCUAAUCAUAAACCAAGAGGUUACCGGUUCGAUUCCCAAUGAGGGCACAUGCCCAGGAUGUGGACUCGUACCCCAGUAGGGAUGUGCAGGAGGCAGCCAAUCGAUUAUUCUCUCAUUAUUUAUGUUUUUAUUCCUCGCUUGCUCUCCCUCUCUCUGAAAUCAAUAAAAACAUAUUU